ensembl:lncRNA
ACAUACCACCUGCUUGAUACGAACUCUGAGAGCAAUGCAAUGAGCCCAGCAGCAUAUGUGAUGUCUAGAGAGGAUGACAUCCAUUGCACAAAGCUGCUGGUUACUGUUUCUUGUAUGCAAGGGUACAAUUAGUUGAUAUAAUUUUGAUUAUGUAAUGUUUGAUAUUUUAUAUCCUGUUUCCAUCGUUUUGGUGGGUGGAAUUUCUAGGCUGAAGUUACCUUAGCCUGGUUGAAUGAAUCUCUCUCAUUAAAAGAGGCUGUUUUUAUCACUUGCCUGCGUUAUCUAAAACGGCGAUACCUCAAGCAGGUGGAUGCACUGUUUGCCACAAGACAGAGCUCCCGACUUAUAGAUUCUAUUUAUGAAUCAUGAUAGAUCUCAGUGUAAACAUUUGUACAAAUUUUCCAAGUAAUAAAGCUAAAACUAAAAAAUGGAAGAUAGUGGAGAUAGAACGCUCCUUUCCCAGCCUCAUUCAGAUAACUAAGAUGGAGAAGUGCAAGCUCCUGUAAUAGCAGGCAGACAUGGAAAUAAAGCCACUUUCCUAAGUCUGAGUGGGGAUAAAGAUAAGGUUGCUACUUUGGCAGCACUGUAGUCUCAGAGAGGAUCCUGCAGUGUGCAGAGUGCUCCCUGAGAGGAUAUGUUAAGACUGUCUGGACAGCACUCCUGAGCUUUAGUCAAAACAAGAUUUUAGGAGCUGCACACUUUAUUUUCAUCAUGUUGUAGCACUUGAGUUAUGUAACUCAUUUGCUACGUUGCCACAUAUAUCUAUCUCCUGGAAAGUACUGCUGACUGAGGAAAGAGACCAUCAUUCUGAGAGGUGAGGAAAUGAAAACCUGACGUGUUUCCUAAAAUACUGAUGGUUUCAUUCUCAGCUUCUGCCCUGGACCUAUCCAAUAUUUUGUACAAAUUAAUCACUAAACAAUGCUUUAGUUAUUGAUUAUUAUUUUAUACUCUCUUGUAGCCUGUAGCUCCCUUUGACACCCAGGCAGAGCUUACCUGCUCCUUUCAUGACAAAUAUGAAUUGCACACGGGUUUGUUAGUACUUGUUGAUUGAUAGGGUAUUUUUACUAAUAGCCACAAAUCUUAAUUUAGCAACUUUUCAUGGGAGGAAGAAAAACUCCUCUUGUUUUAUUUCUUGAAGGGAUAAAUUUUGGAACCUGCCCACACACAGGUGGAAGGGCCUUUCUAUGGGAGCUGUGAGGAGAAAACAACCCUUUUCUACGUUGCAAAUGCAACCUCAGGCCUGUGUUAACUUUCAUACCUGAUCUAUUGCCACACCACAGAGCUGGUGAGGGAAUGAUGAGCAGAUCUGGGCUGCCCUGCUCUCCCUGUAAGAAGGAAUAAAACCAGCCAGAGCAUGCUCCUGCACUGUACUGCCAAAGCAGAUCAUGUAAAAUCUCCUACACUCCAGACUCUGCUACACCCAUGUUCCUUUUUAUACAGACAUUUUCUGAUAAAUGAAGCAACAGAUGUUUAUGCACUGUCAAACAUUAAAGAAGACAGAAGAAUUAGGUAUUCUGCUUGAAAAAAAAUAUUUUGUUUGAGGAUUAUUACAGGUUAUUAAGAGAUCAAUGCAAACAGGAAAUGAUUCAUACCAUUCAUACCAGUACUUUGGAAUCUCCUGCCACUUAAAGGAGUGAACAUACUGUGUCUCAUCAGCUCCGGUUAUGAUGAAGGUGAUUUAAACCCUUAUUAUCUUAAUAAAACAACUGCGAAUGCAAAAUAUGAAAGGAUAAAAUAUAUACAAGAUCUGCAAAAGUGCUUCCAAAGCUCAGCACGUUUCAAGGACCUGAGGGGGAAAGCUCAAAUGACAAAUGGAAACCAAAGGCUUUUAAGUCCUUACCAAAUGCUAAAUAUCAAUUUGUAAUUGAGAUACUUUGGGAAAAAAACACUUGACACAGUGGAUGGUGCAUGAUGGAACAAAAGAUCUCGAAGGCGGAAUACAAGGCCCUGGGGACUCUAGUAGUAUAUCCAAAGACUAAAUGACAGGUCUGAAAACUGUAACUUCAUUCAGGCUACCAGAUGCACUACAGAGAGUCGAGCAGAUGACACCAGAGGAUCAAGGGGAAGUAUUACGGUGAUGCAGAAAACCCAGUGGAAAAGUAAUCUUUUCAAACCCAAGGGGAGCAAAAAAAACUAUACGUAUUGUAUAACAGAGGAGGAUUAGGUGAAAGACAAGGAGUAGUUCUCUCAUGCCAGGAAAAUUCAGUCAUCUAAUUCAAACUCCUGAUCCAGAAGAAAAUAUUUUGGUUUGUUUGCAAGUGUUUUGGAUGACAGAAGAUUAUACUUGAUGUUGCCAUCCAGGACCUUAAGUCUGAUCACUGUUUGGAGACAGAUAUCAUCAAGAAAAGCUCAGUCUGCUGUGGGGAAAAUUCUUGCCUGCUUAAGUAGUGCUAGUUUUACCUUUCAGACAUUUUAGAAGUUUUGUGAUUUUGCAGAAAUGAAUACACUGUUCUAAUGAAAGUCUGAAGGCAUGUGUGCAGUGGAAACAGAAAUAAUUGGAAAUUGGUACAUCAGCUUGGUAUUAAAGAUGCUUGCUCAUGUACUGGCACUGUUUUGUAUAAAGUGAGAGGUAAGAAAAAGGAUUAUGAAUAUUAACUGUAGAGUCCCAUUGCAAUUUUUAAUAAAUAAAGGUUGUAUUAUCAGAAGAAUAAAGGUUGUAUUAGCAUUA